GGGGCUGUUAGGUUUCUACAUAUUUAUAAAUGUUACAAGUGAAUAGAGGAUAGUUUAUCUUUAAUAGAUAGUUAUAUGUUUUAUAAAUGCAAAACAUCAAAUCCAGCCUUUAUCUAAAAAUCUUGUAUUAAUUUAAUUUUUUAUUAAUUAUAAGUUUUAAUUAGUAGUUCAAUUAAUUAUUAUCCUUCCUAAUUUUUUGUACUUUCUUCAAGGAUUCUCUUAAUUUGAUUAAUCAUAUCAUCUAAGUUUAGUUCACGGACUAAUUUUUUUAAUUAUUGCCUCUAAUUUAUAUUAUGAUAAAAAUAUUUUAUUCAUUGAUAUAAUAUACUAGUAUGCAUUAUAAAUAUGGACGUGGGUUCAAUUCCCACCAGUUCCA
rnacentral:tmRNA from 1 species